UAGUAGUGGUUUGGCUUUCUGCUAAUGUG
rnacentral:piRNA from 1 species